rnacentral:rRNA from 1 species
ACGAAGCUGGAUUCGCUAGUAAUCGCGCAUCAGCCACGGCGCGGUGAAUACGUUCCCGGGCCUUGUACACACCGCCCGUCAAGCCAUGGGAGCCGGGGGUACCUGAAGUGCGUAACCGCGAGGAUCGCCCUAGGGUAAAACUGGUGACUGGGGCUAAGUCGUAACAAGGUAAC